UUAGACAAUGRACGCARGUCUGAUCUAGCCAUGCSGCGUGUGUGAUGAAGGCCUUAGGGUCGUAARGCACUUUCGCCUGUGAUGAUAAUGACAGUAGCAGGUAAAGAAACCCCGGCUAACUCCGUGCCAGCAGCCGCGGUAAUACGGAGGGGGUUAGCGUUGUUCGGRAUUACUGGGCGUAAAGCGCGCGUAGGCGGACUAGUCAGUCAGAGGUGAAAUCCCGGGGCUCAACCUCGGAACUGCCUUUGAUACUGCUAGUCUUGAGUUCGAGAGAGGUGAGUGGAAUUCCGAGUGUAGAGGUGAAAUUCGUAGAUAUUCGGAGGAACACCAGUGGCGAAGGCGGCUCACUGGCUCGAUACUGACGCUGAGGUGCGAAAGUGUGGGGAGCAAACAGGAUUAGAUACCCUGGUAGUCCACACCGUAAACGAUGAAUGCCAGUCGUCGGGUAGUAUACUGCUCGGUGACACACCUAACGGAUUAAGCAUUCCGCCUGGGGAGUACGGUCGCAAGAUUAAAACUCAAAUGAA
rnacentral:rRNA from 1 species